AUUGAACGCUGGCGGCAGGCCUAACACAUGCAAGUCGAGCGGAUGAAGGGAGCUUGCUCCUGGAUUCAGCGGCGGACGGGUGAGUAAUGCCUAGGAAUCUGCCUGGUAGGGGGGGAUAACGUCCGGAAACGGGCGCUAAUACCGCAUACGUCCUGAGGGAGAAAGUGGGGGAUCUUCGGACCUCACGCUAUCAGAUGAGCCUAGGUCGGAUUAGCUAGUUGGUGGGGUAAAGGCCUACCAAGGCGACGAUCCGUAACUGGUCUGAGAGGAUGAUCAGUCACACUGGAACUGAGACACGGUCCAGACUCCUACGGGAGGCAGCAGUGGGGAAUAUUGGACAAAGGGCGAAAGCCUGAUCCAGCCAUGCCGCGUGUGUGAAGAAGGUCUUCGGAUUGUAAAGCACUUUAAGUUGGGAGGAAGGGCAGUAAGUUAAUACCUUGCUGUUUUGACGUUACCAACAGAAUAAGCACCGGCUAACUUCGUG
rnacentral:rRNA from 1 species